rnacentral:lncRNA from 1 species
CCCAGAACUGAUAAUGAGUUCAUUGCUUAUGAGAUCCCUAGUUUACCUCUUGGCUGUCAUGUAACUUUCCAAUAAAUUACAUCUUGAUAAUCAGAUCAAGUAUAUAUAUAUAUAUAUGGCAAUCAAAAUAAUCUUUUCUUCCAGCAGUAAAGGAAUAGCUCUGAAUCUCAGCUGCUUUCCUAGACACAAACACUGAUGGAUGGAAAAAGAAGAAGAGACAAGUGCACUGAAAUGAUUUCCAAAGUGUGGGUUGGAUUCUAAUAAAACCAAGAACAACAACUGUGGCGAGAAAGAGAUAGAUGUUCAGCUUAAUAGCAUGAUUUCAGUAUCUGACGUUUAACCAAUUAUUGUUGGACUAUCCACCAUGAUAGCUUCAAUUCCUGAAAGGUACAACUGUAAGGAGAAUGAAAAACUGGUUACAGGACACAUUUUGAAAUUGCUGCUUUAGGAAGAGUUGUAUCUCUGAACUAUAGAGUAUCAAUGUACAAGUAAGUGGGGGAAAUGAUUGGGCCUUGUAACUGCCAUUAGACUUGCAUGCAGAAGAG